GUGAAAAUGUGGAAAUUAAGUAAUUUGUUCAAGGUCAGUUGGGGAAACUAUGAUUUGAACUCAGGUCUUUCUGGAACUUUCAAGAGAUUCACUGUAUUCUAUGGUAGCCUCAGCCUUUGGCUCUCAGACAUAGGAGUUAAGAUGGCAGCUAACUCCUCAGCAUAACUCCACCCUGCCAAUAACCAGCUUUGCUAGAAAAGUGGAAAACUGACAUGCCUGACAAGGAGGGGUCUCUCUCAGGACGUAAGAGAAAAAGAAAGCAACUGGCUGACAAGGAACAGAGAACCGUGAGCCUAGGAGAGGGGCAGAGUGGUGGGGAGAACUGGCAUGAACUGGCAAGUGGAUGCCCAAGCUGGAGGUGCCCGGCUGCUCCACUGCAGUCCAUUUUAAAGCCGUGUUUGAAAGUGGGUCAGAUCUUGCCAACUUUCCAGAGAAGAUGGAGAUUUAAAUUUUUAAAUAAAAUCCUAUUAAAAAUUGUUUUGGAAUGAAACCUUUCAUCUUGAGAUAAUUGUAGGUUCACAUGCAGCUGUAAGAAGUAGUAGAGAGGCCCCUUGUGUGCUUAUCCAGUGCCCCCAGUGGUAAUUGUGAUGUGAUUUAGAAUAGAAAUACGCAUUUGUUUUUUUGUCUCCAUAUCCUGACACAGCUCCUAAAAACUUGGACUCUCCAAAGUAAUAAGUGUCUUUUCAUAUGCUAAUGAGAUGAUUGAUGGUUGGAACUUUCAGCCCCAACCCAACCUCUGGGAUGGGGAGAAGGGCUGGAGUUGAUCAUUUAAGUUGAUCAUUCAUGGGCAAAUAUUUAAUUAAUCAUGACUUCAUAAGGAUCCUCUCUAACACCCAAAAGGACACAUGCAGAGAUUCUGGGGGUUGCUCAGCACGUGGAGGCCCUAGGAGGAUGGUGAGCCCAAGUGCACACAGAAGCUCCGUGGCGUUUCCUCCGAACCUUGCCUAGGACUCCCCUGCAUCUGGCUGUUCCUGAAUUGUAUGCUUUUAGAAUAAAUAGGAAAAUGUAAGUAAAGUAUUCCCCUGAGUUUUGUGAAUCAUUCCAGAAAAUAAUAGAACCUGAGGGGAGGUUGGGGGACCCUCUGAUUCAUAAUUGGUUGGUUAGGAGCACAGGUGAAAAUCAGGGGGCUGGAGGUUGGCAUCUGAAGUGGGGGCAGUCCGUGGGACAGAGCCUUUAACCUGUGGGAGCUGAUCUGUCUCCAGGCUGACAGGGUCAGAAUCGGCUGAGUCCUAGGACACCCAGUUGGUGUCUGAGUUCCUGGUGUGUGUGGAAAACCCAAACCCAAUUUUGGGGACCAGAAGUGAGCAGUUGAGGGUGGAGGAGGAAGGAGCAGUCAGUGUUUUGCUUUCUGAUUACUAACACCUCGCCCUGUUAUGACCAGGAGUGGUCAAGAUAAAGAACAUGUCCAUCUCUACAAGGUGCCCUCAGGUUCCACACACACACUUCUCUCCACCCUCCACCUCUUCAGCUCUGGACAGCGGUUGGCCUUCUCUAUUUCUAGAACAUCUGCCAUUUCUGGAGUGGAAACAUACAACACGUGACUUUUGGGGACUGGCUUUGCUCAUGGCAUGACUGUCAGGAGGUUCACCAGGUGGGUGCUGGCUAGAACCUGGGGUCGUGGAUGUCCUGCGGCUUCAUCACUCACCUGCUGAAGGACAUCAGGCUCGUUUCCAGUUUGGAACCCUGAUGAAUAAAACUGCUUCACACAUUUUUAUACCGUUUUCAUGGGAAUGUGUCUAUUUUUCUGGGAACACAGUCGGUGGGUCGCACUCCCACCAGCAACGUGUGGGUGGCCCUGUCCCUUCACAUCCUCACGGGUGUUGACUGGUCACACCUUUUACCUCAGCCAUACCUACACGUCCCUUGUGGUUUGAAUUUGCAUGUCCUAGUCGCUAGGGAGCCACUAACCAUGCCGAACCCCUUUGCCCGCAUUUCCUUGUCACGUGCAUUUCCUCUUUGGUAAAAUGUUUGUUCAUGUCUUUUAUCCAUUUCCCAAUUGGACUGUUUAGAAUUUCAAGAGUUUUAAAAAUUUAUUUUAAAACAGUCUUUGGUUAGAUAUAUGAUCUGCAAACAUUUUCUCCCACUAUGUAGCUUGUCUUUCCAUCCUUUUAACAGGGUCUACAACAAAGGAAAUGAAAAAAAAAAUUUAUGGGGCUGGGAUUG
rnacentral:lncRNA from 1 species